rnacentral:antisense_RNA from 1 species
UUUUUUUUUUUGUAGUGAUGGGGUCUCACUAUUUUUGCCCACCCUGGUCUCGAACUCCUGAGCUAAAGUGAUCCUCCUGCUUUGGCCUCCCAAACUGCUGGGAUUACAGGUAUGAGCAGCCUCGCCCGGCCUCAAUUACUUUUUAUAUUGACAAAGAGAAGAUGUUGCAAUGUCCUCAAACGUAAAACACCCCCUACAGUUCCAAUUCUGGGCCUGUCUCUAUCUAUCUAUCUUUGCCCUUCUGGUCCGUUCCCUGUUCUAAGCCCCAGGGAACUUAGGGCUGAAAGUCACCCCCGAGGCCUCAGACCAGAUCCGGAGGCCACACGCAGCUCAUGGGGACAGAGGGCCCAGGGUGACGGUCCACUCAGGAGAGGUGCUAUGUGACUCCAGGGAGUCUGUCCCUCUCCGGGCUCCAAUCCCCAGCCCUGACCAUACAAGCUCAGAUGACCCAGCCUCUGUCCCUUUAGCGGCCGAGGAGCCACCACCUGUUCGGGGGCUGGAGGAUGGCCUCGCAGAGGACCUGGGACACUCACCUAGCUCGUUCAUGGCACGGCGGUACUCCUCCUCAAAGGACAGCUUCAUAACAGCACAGGUGGCCUGGCAGAUCUGCGGCUCGAUGGGGAUCGGGUCUGUGGGCACAGGGACCAGAUCAGAGCCCCCAUUCCCAGGAAAUGACCCAGGUGACUCCCGAAGGUCCCCCCCCCCCCCCCCCGCAACCUGCCCGCCCCAGGCCUGAAGGAUCCCGGGAGUUUCGCAAAUGGCUGCAAAGUUGGGACUUCCUUUCCCAGCCUCUCUAAGAUGGGAUGAUGGGGUGGCCUCUCUCACUCAGCCUUGGGAAGGGAGGCGAGGUAGUUCUGGAGCACCACACCUUUCAGCUGUGCUUCUGCCCUUUUUAAAAAUAAAACUGAUGAGACAGGGUCUCGCUCUGUUGUUCAGA